rnacentral:rRNA from 1 species
CAAAGGCUUGGUCCUGACUUUAUUAUCAGCUUUAGCCGAGCUUACACAUGCAAGUAUCCGCCCCCCUGUGAGAAUGCCCUCUGUCCCUGCUG